UGGCUGGGGAGCAGAGUUUAUUCCUCCAAACCUCAGCACCCCCAGAAAGUGGGCAGAGAUCCAGGGCCCACGCCGUGGAACCCUAGAAAGGAGUCGAGCAUAUCCAAACAGGGCCAGAGUCUAGUCCAGCCGAGUAAGGCCGAGUACAGCCGAACAGAGACUUUUUUUUCCGAGCCUAAACGAACAGAGUCGGGUCCAACCGGGUGGUUCCGAUUAUGGCCGAAUCAAGCCGAAUCUGAGCGAAGAGGAAGAGCUGGUGCUCUGAGGUCCAGCGGCGCCCCCUGGCGGACUUAGAAAGCACUGGGCUGACCUGAGUGGGAGUCAUUGGAUCACCUUGCAGUCCAAUCAAUGAUAGUCCUACAAGAUGGGGUUGUGAGGUGUACUUCAGGAAUGAGGAAACUGAGGCUCCACCAGGGCCCGAGACUGGCUCACAGGCACUCUGAGCUAGGAAGUGAACCAUCUGGGGUUCCCCUGAUUGCGUGUGGCCAAGAACACCCGUGCCACUGCCCACAUGUAAGUCAGGUCGUGUUUGUCCAUUUAUUACAGCCAGUGCCUACAGAGACCUCCCUGGUAGAGAGUGGACAGAGCUCAGACACAGAUGGAGAAACCAAACAGGCUCUGGAGGUGUUGACCGAGGGCGGUGGGGCGGCAGUUCCCAUGAGCAAAUAUUGACACAUUUCCUGACCGUUAAAGCAGAAAGUCCGACUGAAAAAGGACGUUCUGUCCCUUCUCUGCAAAGCUUUGAAACCUCCUGCCCUGACCCCACGCCUCAGUCUCCUCACCUGAAACAAGAUAUUAAUAAAGAAUGUGGCUAGGA
rnacentral:lncRNA from 1 species